rnacentral:rRNA from 1 species
AUUGAACGCUGGAGGCAGGCCUAACACAUGCAAGUCGAGCGGAGCGGCGGACGGGUGCGUAAUGCCUAGGAAUCUGCCUGGUAGUGGGGGAUAACGUCAGGAAACGGGAGCUAAUCCCGCAUGCUAUAAGAUGAGCCUAGGUCGGAUGAUCUGGUGGGUGGGGUAAAGGCCUACAAAGGCGACGAUCCUUAACUGGUCUGAGAGGAUGAUCAGUAACACUGGAACUGAGACACGGUCCAUACUCCUACGGGAGGUAGCAUUGGGGAAUAUUGGACAAUGGGCGAAAGCCUGAUCCAGCCAGGCCUCGUGUGUUAAGAAGGUCUUCGGAUUGUAAUGCACUUUAAGUUGGGAGGCGUUACCAACAGAAUAAGCACCGGCUAACUUCGUGCCAGCAGCCGCGGUAAUAC